UACGUAGGGUGCGAGCGUUGUCCGGAAUUACUGGGCGUAAAGGGCUCGUAGGUGGCCAACUAAGUCAGACGUGAAAUCCCUCAGCUUAACUGGGGAACUGCGUCUGAUACUGGAUGGCUUGAGUUUGGGAGAGGGAUGCGGAAUUCCAGGUGUAGCGGUGAAAUGCGUAGAUAUCUGGAGGAACACCGGUGGCGAAGGCAGAUCUCUGGGCCGUAACUGACGCUGAGGAGCGAAAGCGUGGGGAGCGAACAGG
rnacentral:rRNA from 1 species